rnacentral:rRNA from 1 species
UGGGGAAUUUUGGACAAUGGGCGAAAGCCUGAUCCAGCAAUGCCGCGUGUGUGAAGAAGGCCUUCGGGUUGUAAAGCACUUUUGUCCGGAAAGAAAUCCUUGGCUCUAAUACAGUCGGGGGAUGACGGUACCGGAAGAAUAAGCACCGGCUAACUACGUGCCAGCAGCCGCGGUAAUACGUAGGGUGCAAGCGUUAAUCGGAAUUACUGGGCGUAAAGCGUGCGCAGGCGGUUUGCUAAGACCGAUGUGAAAUCCCCGGGCUCAACCUGGGAACUGCAUUGGUGACUGGCAGGCUAGAGUAUGGCAGAGGGGGGUAGAAUUCCACGUGUAGCAGUGAAAUGCGUAGAGAUGUGGAGGAAUACCGAUGGCGAAGGCAGCCCCCUGGGCCAAUACUGACGCUCAUGCACGAAAGCGUGGGGAGCAAACAGGAUUAGAUACCCUGGUAGUCCACGCCCUAAACGAUGUCAACUAGUUGUUGGGGAUUCAUUUCCUUAGUAACGUAGCUAACGCGUGAAGCUGACCGCCUGGGGAGUACGUCGCAAGAUUAAAACUCAAAGGAAUUGACGGGGU